rnacentral:SRP_RNA from 1 species
UAUUCGGUCCUAUGCAGCACAACGCUCCGAACCUGGUCAGGUCUUGACGGAAGCAGCCAUAAGAAGCAGUUUGUGGGUGCCAUAGGUUAGCCGAUGUUGU